UGUAAGGAUGAUAAGAAUGAUGUAUUAUUGUUGCAUUGAAUGGGUUAAUAUAAGGUAAAAUAUACUUAAAAUGUUCAUAAAAAGGUAAAAGUUAAAAUGCACUAAUGGUCUGUAGAUCAGUGAUUCAUUGUUCGGUGGUUUAAGUUUAGGUAUCAGUGCAAUCAGAUUGAUUGCUAAUGCCUCAUUCAGGGACGAUCUGUGAGCGAUUGCUAAUGCCUCGUUUUGCCUAUGAACGGAGCGUGUGGCUAGGGUCGUUCAUUACAACUAUGGCCGACACUGAGCUGCAUCGUGUCCGUGUCGUUUGUCAUAUUUCCUCUUUUACAGGUAAGAACGAGUGUUGUAUUAGGGUUGAUCAAUGUAUAUAUGUGUUUCAAUACUGUAAGAAACAUGCGGGAGUAGAUGUUAAUGAUGGUAAUCAUCUAGCAGCUAAACGUGAAGAAAUGUUCAUCUAGCGUAGCGUGCAUGCUAGCUGUGUAGCACGUGGCGUAGCCCGUGGGCUGGGCUCAAAGCGGGACGUAAUAGAACACCGCAAGUGCCGGUUUCUCUGUGUGUAUUUGUUUUAUAUUAUAAGGAUAAGGUAAAAGUGUUAGUAUCGCAUAAGCUAAAGAGAGAGUGUUUAAUGUGAAAAGGAAAGAGUCUUGUAUUUUUUUCAAGGUUAUUUUCCCAUGUUGUUUUACGAUGUUGUAAACAUAUUUGAUAUUUUGGUAACUCACUUUAACGACUGGUUCAGGUCAUUUGAGUAAUAUGGAGCCAUAACUGAUCGAAUUGUAUUUGUCUUAAUUGUAUAAGCUCUUAUAAAGACAUUACCGCAAAGGGAAAAUAACAUGUUUAAGUGCGAUACUGAGUGUAUAAAUGUGUUAUUAUGCUUUUCAUGUUCAUUACAACUAUGGCCGACACUGAGCUGCAUCGUGUCCGUGUCGUUUGUCAUAUUUCCUCUUUUACAGGGGCGUAACAUUUGGAGGCACCGCUGGGAUCGUGUGCAGCGUGGUUUAGCGUCUUCAACAGAUGUCCCCCGCCGUCACACAUCCCCUUUAAACAACCCGGAACAUCAGAAGCAGGUGGCGAAUCAGCGAUAGUGGGAGUCCGAUUGUCUGGGGCAGCUUGCAUGUGAUCUGAGGAAUCUGAGUCAGGUCUCCAAUAUGACCCUGGGUUAGUGCAGAAGAUGUUUCUUCACACUGUGCUAACUGGCCUGCAGAAUGACAACAUCAGGCGGGAUCUUCAGCCUUACUUGGAGCAAACUGACAUCGCUGAUGAACUGUUGCUUGAGCGAGUGAAUACAGCAUGUGCUUAUG
ensembl:lncRNA